AGAAUCCAAAGAAGAACGAGGAAAAGAAAAAGUUGCAGAAUAGUCCUUAAAUUUCAAUAUCUUCUACAAAUUAGCCGGAUUGACUUGAAGUGAAGUGGGUAGAUCGGAUCAACACAACAAAGCACACUAUCCAGAUCAAUUCCGGUAGCUUUUGUUUUAUGUUUGAAGAUUUAUAUGGCAUGUAUAGAGUUUAAAUGAAAUGAAGUAAAGAUGUUAUAAACUAGUUAACAACAUUUUGUACUAAAACAGUUUUUGGUUAGUAGCAGUAGUUUGAGUUUGAAAA